UACGUAGGGGGCAAGCGUUGUCCGGAUUUAUUGGGCGUAAAGAGCGUGUAGGCGGCCUGAAAGGUCAGCUGUGAAAACUCGAGGCUCAACCUCGAGAUGUCGGUUGAAACCAUCUGGCUAGAGUCCGGAAGAGGAGAGUGGAAUUCCCGGUGUAGCGGUGAAAUGCGCAGAUAUCGAGAGGAACACCUGUGGCGAAAGCGGCGCACUGGACCACAACUGACGCUGAGGCGCGAAAGCUAGGGGAGCAAACAGG
rnacentral:rRNA from 1 species